AUUGAACGCUGGCGGAAUGCUUUACACAUGCAAGUCGAGCGGCAGCGCGGGGCAACCUGGCGGCGAGCGGCGAACGGGUGAGUAAUACAUCGGAACGUGCCCAGACGUGGGGGAUAACUACUCGAAAGAGUGGCUAAUACCGCAUACGAUCUGAGGAUGAAAGCGGGGGAUCGCAAGACCUCGCGCGUCUGGAGCGGCCGAUGGCAGAUUAGGUAGUUGGUGAGGUAAAGGCUUACCAAGCCUGCGAUCUGUAGCUGGUCUGAGAGGAUGAUCAGCCACACUGGGACUGAGACACGGCCCAGACUCCUACGGGAGGCAGCAGUGGGGAAUUUUGGACAAUGGGCGAAAGCCUGAUCCAGCCAUUCCGCGUGCAGGAUGAAGGCCCUCGGGUUGUAAACUGCUUUUGUACGGAACGAAAAAGACUCCGGCUAAUACCUGGAGUCCAUGACGGUACCGUAAGAAUAAGCACCGGCUAACUACGUGCCAG
rnacentral:rRNA from 1 species